GACGAACGCUGGCGGCGUGCUUAACACAUGCAAGUCGAGCGGUAAGGCCCUUUCGGGGGUACACGAGCGGCGAACGGGUGAGUAACACGUGGGUGACCUGCCCUUAGCUCUGGGAUAAGCCUGGGAAACUGGGUCUAAUACCGGAUAUGACUCCAUGACGCAUGUUGUGGGGUGGAAAGCCUUGUGCGGCUAGGGAUGGGCCCGCGGCCUAUCAGCUUGUUGGUGGGGUGAUGGCCUACCAAGGCGACGACGGGUAGCCGGCCUGAGAGGGCGACCGCCACACUGGGACUGAGACACGGCCCAGACUCCUACGGGAGGCAGCAGUGGAGAAUCUUGCGCAAUGGGCGAAAAGCCUGACGCAGCGACGCCGCGUGAGGGAUGACGGCCU
rnacentral:rRNA from 1 species